rnacentral:rRNA from 1 species
CUGCCCUUAGUUGCCAGCGGGUAAAGCCGGGCACUCUAAGGGACUGCCGGCGAUGAGCCGGAGGAAGGUGGGGAUGACGUCAAGUCAGUAUGCCCCUUAUGCCCUGGGCUACACACGCGCUACAAUGGGUGGUACAGAGGGGAGCGAAACCGCGAGGUGGAGCGAAUCCCGAAAGCCACCCCCAGUUCGGAUCGCAGGCUGCAACUCGCCUGCGUGAAGGCGGAAUCGCUAGUAACCGCAGAUCAGCCACGCUGCGGUGAA